ACUUUUGUUAACUAUUUUAUUUCAUUGUUGCACUUUCUAUCGCGCUUCUUAUGCCUAAGUUCAAUAAAAACUUUAGUGAAUAAUAAACACACACACAAAACCGUAAAACAAAUUCUAAGAAUAUUAUAUGUCACUUAAUCCAUAAAAUAUCCAUGUCCAAAAACCAAACUCAAAUAUGUUUGAAAAGCAACCAUCAAUUUGCCUCGCAUCGACUUAAAUCGAUACGAAGAACCUAUCCCUCUUCUCACGCUGUCUCUGGACAAACCAUUACUAUCACCACCAUUUACGCUGGAAGAGAAGGAAAAAAAUGAAAGAACUUGGUAGUUGUAAAUCGAGUGAUUCGCAGAAAAAACAGAGAGGAAGAUCGAAGAAGCAGAAACCGACGUUUAAACUAUUCACCAAGAACAGCUGGCCGAAGGUAAUGAUAUCUCGCGACAGUAUCAUUAACAAGAAGAUCAAAGAUUCCUCCGGAUCUCCAAGUUUGUCGUUUAUCGAAGAAUCUUCGAGCGAGCUGCAAGAAACGGAAGAAAAAGAUGCCUGUCACGUGGGACAUUUAUAUUGUGAUGAAAAUGCCACGAAUUUCAAGGAGGAACUGGAUGUUUGUUUGAUCAGUAGCUCCAGCGAAAUUCAAGGAAGUCUUAAAGUGAGCGAGACUUCGAGAGGAAACGAGAAAGUUUUGAAAAAGUUUGAUGGGGCGGUCGAAGAAAAUGAUUUUGAUUGCGCGCCGGAAGAAAGUGCAAUUUCAAAUACAUGGGAACAACAGACGCCUAUUUUUGUUGAUUUAACAGCUGAUGAGAAAAGCACGUGGAAACAAACGAUUUUGAAGCGAUUCUGUGAUGUAAAGGCAGACAUGACGAAUGAAAAGGAAGAUGAGAACGAGAAAUGCACUACGAACAUCGCAUUAGAACCUCGAAUUAUAAUAGCAGAUAGUUCAAGCAAAUUAAAUUGUAAUGGAAACAACAGUUUAGCAACUGCCUUACGAGACCGUGGGCCAUGCUUCAUACCGGUACAACCAAAUCGUUCUUUACCUAUUCUUCCGGCACCGUCCGUACCUACGAGAUUCAUUCGAAAAGAUUCAUCAUCUCUCAUCUUACCAAAAUCUACCGUGGGCUUAGUAGAAGUAGAAUUAAUGAAAUCAAACAGUACAUUGUCGAAUAAAAAAGAUAAUAUUUCUAAAAAACAAAUAACAUCAAAAGAUACCGUGAGCUCGAUGGCUUACUUUGUUCCACAAAUUUCAAGCGUGGAAAGUCUGAGUAUGAUAAAGAAAAGAAAUGAUAACGAUAUGGAACACGAGACUAAUGUUAAAGAAAGAAGGAAAAAAAAAAAAUCGCAGGAAGCAAAUUCUAGACAAAAUAAAGAGGAAUGUAUGGAAAGUUCGAUUAAAGAGUUCCUAACAAAUUUCUGUGGCUCGAAUGCAACUGAAGGCGUACAGAAUCUUUGUACUGACAAGUGCGUUAGAGCUGCCUCCACGACGAAAGGAGAUGAAAAAAAUGGAAAUAAAUUGGUUCCUCCGUUGAGACUGAAGAAAGUCGUGCAUACAGAAACAGAGAGAUACGACGAUUCUCAAAUCGUCACGGGGUCGGAACACGAAUCAAACUAUAGAAUCAUCACAGACACAGCGUCUCAAUCACCACCUAGUCCAAAUUCUAAUAACUGGAACGAUAUACUCUUCGAGAAAGACACAGAUUUUACAACUUUAAAUACCGAUAACUACAAACUAAAGUACAGGCGUAAUAGAUUAAAACAGAAACUACGUGAACUACGAGAUAAAGCUUUGGAAUUAGCUAAGCAAAUGGCGAGUGAUUCGAACUCUCAACAAAAUAUCAGAUUAAGGCAAGUGAUGAAUCGUUACGAAAAGCAAAUAGAAAAUCUAUCAAAAUUACAUAACAGACUGUCUGCAGCCCUCUCGAUCUCGAAGGAAGCGAUUAAUGAAAAUAAUGAUAGCCUGAAUUCUUCUGAUAACAAGUAUCCAUGUAUAAAUUUAAACGAGAGAAACGCAGAUUUUUCGGCGAAUAACAAUUCUCCGGUGUCAUCACCUGAACCACCUAAAUUGUCACCACGAUCAUCUCUAGAUUGUCAUAGUAUUCUGCCAGAAGAGGUUCGAAAUAGUCCACCAAUUUUACCAAAGAUAUGUUUAACUAUCUCGUCGAGUCAAGACUCGGUGGAAGAAGAGUUACAAGUCGUUGAAAGGAAAGUUUGGCCUGUGAACGAAGAAUUGAUGAAAUCAACGUUUUCUACAGAUCCACUUCCUGGGGAUUUAACUGAUUCCGUGGACAAAGAUACUCCAGAUAUUGAGAAACAUGUACAGACUAUGCCUGUAGUCCAUAAAAAUAAUAUCAAUAUCGAUAUAGAAAGUUCUAAUUCUAGUGUAAAUAAGAGAGCUUUCAAUCAUUCGAACAAGGUUAUUCAAUCACCAGAGAACAACCAUGCAGCUCGGGAAAAGAAAGACGAAAGAAAUAAAUCGAUCAAAGGAUUUACUCAGUGUCGUCUUGUGAUCCAAGAACCAGAAAAAAUCAAGUGUUUGGAGUUUCCGGAUGUUGGACCCAUAAUAAGUUCUGUAGCUAAUUGCGUGGAAAUACCAACAACUGUUCAAGGAAACAAAUCGUUUGAGGUGAUAUCUAACAAACAGUUCUCUUUGUCAAGGGAUCAUACAGUACAACCUAAUUUUUAUGAAUCCAAUCAAGAGAAAGUACCAUUUUCGACAAAUCAUGAAGAUAGUAUAAAUUCGCAAAAGGUUUCAUCGAGUUCGGGUCAGCCAACUCAAUUUGAUUCUUCACAAACGAUGUUGAAUCAGGAAAAGUUCGCGUAAGUUAAAUGAAAAAUUAAUAUAUUUUAUUAUCUAUAUUUCUACCUUACAUUUUAUGCAUACAGGUUGCGACAGAGCCGUAAAGGAGAAGAAAUUCCGGCUGAUUCUGUACAGAAGAGUAGCGGGAAUCAUUCUAUAACCGAACAAUUUCCUACUCUUGGUAACUGGUUCGCUCGAAUGUCGAAAAAGCAAGCUUCAAUAACCAAACCCAAAUUGCAAGCCACAGAAAAUGUGCCGUUUGUACCAGGAGAAAACACUACACGCCAAAUUUCUGGGUCUGAAAUACCAAAGAUGGUUGGACCUAAUAUCAAUAAUCACAUAAUAAAUUCAACGCCUCAACGCGGUACAGAGAAAUGGCAAUAUCAUCAGCAACAGCAACUACAACAUGUUGCGGCAUCCGUGACUCUUUCGCAACCUGUUGCAGCAGUUCCUCCUUUACGACCUGGUGCUUGUCCACCAAUUCCUAUGACUCAAUUUUACUCGAAUAAUUACGCUAUCGAUCCUUACAACAGUACCGCCUUAAGUUAUCAUCCACCAAUUUGUCCUUACGGUCCUUAUCCAUAUCACCCACGAUUACACUCCGGUUCCUUACCAUUUCAUUUCCCUGUGCAAGAAAGCUUGCGAUCAAUGCACCAUAUGGAUAAACGUUUCCCCACAAUACAAGAUCCAGUUGUAAGGUAUCCCUCACCAUCGACAAACACUCUACAGCAUUCGGGUAAUUUGGAGUUUGAUCGUCUUCGAGGAAACUCUACCACUAGCAACAUUGGUACCACAACUUGUUUACCAUCGUUAUUUCUAUCACCACCGUCUUUAUCAACUUCUCAUCAGACCCUGCCUCGAAAUUCUUUAAUCGGCUAUCCGACAAACAAUCAAUUUUCUCGGAACAGAAUGAUACCGGAUGUUGUCGCCGCAGCAGCAGCCGCUGCUGUUGUCGCUGCUGCUUCCUUUGAUAGGCAACGAGAUACGUUGACUUAUAAUAGAACCGAGACGGAUGCAUUAUCGCCUACUGGUAUUCCAAACGUCAUUGACAGAGAACCACCUCACGUAUCGGGCGCUACCAGAUCAAUUAUUAAUCAUGACGUAACUAAUCUAACUCAAGAUAGUAAUUUUAACAAAGAAAGUCAUGAAAACACUAAGUAUCAACAAAUGCAAAAUUUUGUGUUCGACCGAUUGGCAUUUGUGAAAACCACGGAUAAUUUUGCGCAAACAAAUUCAGUUAUUAAUAAUGAUGCGCAGUCGACGAUGACGUCUAUUGUUCCAACAGGACAAUAUCGAAUGCCAUUAAUUCAUUCACAUGCACAAUUAUCGAAAAAUGUAUUAGAAACUGAAACCAGGAAUUGCGAGACACCGCAUCUAGGUAAAGUGAAUCGUAGUCCGAAUAGUUCACAUAAUCUCACAUGUUUAAAUUGUGGUAUUAUCGGACCAAAGUUUAAAUGUUUAGGAUGUGAAAUGGCCUUUUAUUGUGAUGAACGGUGCCAAGAGAAACAUUGGUAUGUCCACGUACAAAGAUGCCCAAAGAAAAUGCCAAAAUUAAAGAAAGUCACAUAAAAUUAAUUAGGUUAGAAAUAUAAAUUUUGGAAUAUUGAUUUGAUGCACAAAACGUAUUUUAUGUGGAGUAAAAAAGAUAUUUUUCUAUAGCUUUUUCAUACAAAAGUAAACAUAGUUUUCAAAUGUAGUAUCAUAUAAUAAUACAACAAUAACAAUAAUAUAUAUGUUUAACAUUUUAUAAUAUAACUUUGUUGUGCAAUAAGACUGGUAUACUUCGUAUCAUACACAUCUAAUAUAGUAAAACACUACUACAUUCGCACACAUAUGUACCUGAUACAUGUUUAAUAAAAAAAUAUAUCUUGAUUACUCA